rnacentral:lncRNA from 1 species
GUUUAUGCAGGAGUUGACGCCCUAGAUUUGGUAUUUAAGAGCUGUCAACAAUGACCUUCCUAAGCUAUCGUUCAUUUGUUGAUGUGUGAUGUAUGCAUGGUUGUAACUAUUGCGUCGAGCUAAAUCUUUGAAGUGGUUACAUGUGUCGGUGUUCCCGUUUUGACUUACUGAGCUAUCGUUCAUUUGUUGAUGUGUGAUGUAUGCAUGGUUGUAACUAUUGCGUCGAGCUAAAUGUUUGAAGUGGUUACAUGUGUCGGUGUUCUCGUUUUGACUUACCAGUUCCCAAUUGUAAUCGACAUGUUCCAGAUUGAAAUGUUCCAUUCCUGAUAUCCCGUAAUAUUGAUUUCGUUUUCCC